UGUGAGAGUGAUGAGUUGCACUAAUGAGUUGGGGUGUCUUUGCAGUGGCAUCGACACCUCAAUCCCAGUCAAUAUGAGGACACACCCUGUGCACAGGGGCCAUCUGACUCCAC
ensembl:snoRNA small nucleolar RNA SNORD67